AGCAGUAGCCGCGGUAAUACGGAGGGGGCUAGCGUUGUUCGGAAUUACUGGGCGUAAAGCGCACGUAGGCGGCUUGGUAAGUUAGAGGUGAAAGCCUGGAGCCCAACUCCAGAAUUGCCUUUAAGACUGCCGAGCUAGCAGGUGAGAGAGGUAAGUGGAAUUCCGAGUGUAGAGGUGAAAUUCCUAGAUAUUCGGAAGAACACCAGUGGCGAAGGCGGCUUACUGGCUCAUACUGGACGCUGAGGUGCGAAAGCGUGGGGAGCAAACAGGAUUAGAUACCCCCGUAGUCCCUGUCUCUUAUAC
rnacentral:rRNA from 1 species